ensembl:lncRNA
GGACCGCCAGAGGGCCUCCUUGAGGAAGCUCUCCGCCAGGAGGGGGUCCCAGGGCCCGGGGGGUAACCCGGCGGGGCCCGCGGGGGAGCCCGCGUACGACGCCCGCGCCCACGGCUUCCUGAGCUUUGGCGAGCAGGCCACCAGCUCCACCUCCUCCUCCUCCCCCUCCUUCCUGCUGAGCGGCGAGACCUCCCUGAGCUCCGUCUCCGGGACGGGGGAGGACCUCCUGGAGAGGAGCUGGGGGGACCUGGACAAAGACCUGGGGCUGAUCCGCAUGUGGUACCGGCUGGAUGAGAACCGCCUGCCCCCGCUGUACCGCCUGCUCCCCAUCAGCACCCACCACCCAGACAUCCUGAGCCAGGACGGGCAGCGCAGGCGGCAGGCGGUGAAGGACUGGGCCGCCACCCGCCAGCGGCUUUGGUGGGUGCUGCAGCGGGGGGGAACAGUUGCCCUGGGCGAGGAGGGGGCCGCAGCACUGCUCAAGACGGUCCUGGACUGGGAGACGGAGGAGGGUCUGCGUUCCCUCGGAGACGGCUGCCCGCCGGAGCAGCACUGCCACUGCUACAAGAGGCUGAUCCCAGACCUGUACUACAACCUGAAGAACGAGCACGCCGCGCCCUACGUGGACCUGAUGAAGGGACGGCCGCAGGUCAACACGGCGCUGGCCGCAGCACAUCAGAGGUUCAUGGGCCGGGUUUAUGAUGAUCUGCGCCACACCAACAUCUACGAGAGGGACGUGGGCUGGGGUCGCAGGGGUCUGGACCCCGAACACAACCGGUCCCACCAGUUCUACACCGAGCGCAUCUGCGCCCACUUCAAACGGACGGCCCUCAGCUCCCUCAACAAAGCCAUGGUGGUGAGCCAGGCCCGGGAGCCCUUUGACGUGGUCAGGAGGAAAGAGGUGAAGCGCCGGCUGUGGGAAGAGGUCCAGUACCACAGAGACCACCGGGACGCCCUGGCCAGGAAGUGCCUGUUGAGGCAGGACUUCCUGUCUGAGGUACAGAGGGCCGCCGCAGAGACCCCGGGGCGAGGGCCCCUGCUACUGCUGGGGGCUCCUGGUUCGGGGAAGAGCUGCGUCCUGGCCAGGGCCUCACAGCUACUCUGCACUCGUCUACCUGGAGCCGUGGAGGUCGUGUGUUUCAUCGGCCUCACCGGCGAGAGCAGGAACAUCCGCCUGGUCCUGCAGAGUCUGUGUCUCCAGCUGGCCCAGGCCUACGCUGCCCCUCGCGGCCAGCUCUCUACGGGUCUCCCCCAGCUGAGGGCCGAGUUCCUCUCCCUGCUGGGCCGAGGGUCCGCUGCCAGGCCCCCGGUGCUGCUGCUGGACGGGCUGGACGAGCUGUCGGAGGAGGAGGAGGAGCGCGCUGCGGACCUGUCCUGGCUGGAAGGGCCCCUGCCCCCCCACCCCCCUCCUCCUGUCGGCCG